GGGGAGAGUCCACUGCCGGGGGAGAGAGACCCCUGUGAAAGGGCAGGCUAAGCCCAGGGGCCACGGUCCGCAGUUUGAGAGCCACUGGUGUAAGUCGCCGCAUUCAAAGGAGCAGAAGACGGUCAACAAGCUUCAGUUUAGCUCCGUUCCACUGACCCAGCAUUCCCGGGCUCAAGGCAGGAGAGCGUGAAGAUGGACGAGGUGUCAUCACUGGACCCAUUCAAAGGGAAAAGCAUGCAGUCAUUUGACAACCCACUCAGGAGGAACACAAGUUAUACAGAUGAGACGCCAUCCUCUUGUUAUUUAUUAAAACAUGUGUGAAAUUAAUGUUUUAAUCUAUUCACUAUUUAAUUAAAAUAUUUUUUAUGGA